rnacentral:rRNA from 1 species
CCUACGGGAGGCAGCAGUGAGGAAUAUUGGUCAAUGGACGAGAGUCUGAACCAGCCAAGUAGCGUGAAGGAUGACUGCCCUAUGGGUUGUAAACUUCUUUUAUAUGGGAAUAAAAUGUUCCACGUGUGGGAUUUUGUAUGUACCAUAUGAAUAAGGAUCGGCUAACUCCGUGCCAGCAGCCGCGGUAAUACGGAGGAUCCGAGCGUUAUCCGGAUUUAUUGGGUUUAAAGGGAGCGUAGGUGGAUUGUUAAGUCAGUUGUGAAAGUUUGGGGCUCAACCGUAAAAUUGCAGUUGAAACUGGCAGUCUUGAGUACAGUAGAGGUGGGCGGAAGUCGUGGUGUAGCGGUGAAAUGCUUAGAUAUCACGAAGAACUCCGAUUGCGAAGGCAGUUCACUGGACUGCAACUGACACUGAGGCUCGAAAGUGUGGGUAUCAAACAGGAUUAGAUACCCUAGUAGUC